UUUAAGGGGGGGAACUUGCGCAAUUGGUUGCUGACUAAAUACUUUUUGCCCCACUGUACAUUCAUAUAUGUUCAUUUAUAAUGUGGUCUUUACCUGACCUUUUGGAAUAUAUUACAAAACAUAAACCAAUGGACCUAGUGACAGAAAUACACAAACAUAAAACAAUUCUAAACAUAUUCUGCUUUUUUUUUUUUUUUUACCAUUUUUGGAAUAAUUUAACUGGAGUAUGCACAUACACAGUAGGGCAAAAGACACAAAAUAAACAUUUCACAAGUUGUGGUACCUAAGAGAGAUGGGGUACCGAUUGGCUGUCAAUGUUACGCAAAUAAAAUCACUUUUGGCAAUACUCGUCAAGGCCAACAAUCACACAGUUGUAUCUGACAAAUUGUCAGGCAUUUGUGUCGUUAAAACCAGUUUAACUUUUCAUAGUGUUAUGAUCAAUAUAAGCUUUUAAAACAUUUAGCAUGUCUUAAUGUGCCUCAUUUUUAGGACCAGAAACAGUAUGAACAUUACAUCCGAUCACUGCGACCAAAACGAUCAUUUCAACGAUCAACAAUGCGCGUGCAUCAUAAAGUCAUUUAAUUAUAGCGAUUGCGCCUCUCCCCAAUAAUGACACGCCACAUUGCGCGAUAAUUAUUUUGUACAGAAUACACUCAAAGUUCAAUAUAGUGCAGUCCAAUAUAGCACGACAUUCUAUGUAACGUGAUCGUGCCGUGGACCCCGAAUUUUCAAUACAGAGUCAAUCGCGUUGUUUUUCAGCAAAUUAUCACGUAUUUACGAACUUACUCAGUAGAUCUUAAUGAAAGUCUCAAAAUAGAAGGUAUUAAGGAUUCCAAAAAUGUUUUUUUUAAAUUAACUACCUACAAAUAACAAAAUAUUGACUGGUGCAUAGUAAUGACAUGGGAGCACAAUCCACCAUUCAUGUCACGUGGGGGCAUUAUCCAUCCAGCAGGUUUAGGCAGCUAAACUAAGCGCAUAACUUUUUCAACAAGAAAAAGGUAAGAAAUAAGGGUUUCUAUAAAGCGCGAUCUCGGAAAUAAUGUGAUCGGUAUUUUAUGGACCCAAUGACCACAUUAUAUCCAACUUUGAGUGUAUCCUUCCAUUUUCUACCGCUUAUUCCCUUUCGGGGUCGCGGGGGGUGCUGGCGCCUAUCUCAGCUACAAUCGGGCGGAAGGCGGGGUACACCCUGGACAAGUCGCCACCUCAUCGCAGGGCCAACACAGAUAGACAGACAACAUUCACACUCACAUUCACACACUAGGGCCAAUUUAGUGCUGCCAAUCAACCUAUCCCCAGGUGCAUGUCUUUGGAAGUGGGAGGAAGCCGGAAUACCCGGAGGGAACCCACGCAUUCACGGGGAGAACAUGCAAACUCCACACAGAAAGAUCCUCAGCCUGGAAUUGAACCCAGGACUGCAGGACCUUCGUAUUGUGAGGCAGACGCACUAACCCCUCUACCACCGUGAAGCCAUACUUUGAGUGUACAGUAACUCAAAAACAGUAACUCAAAAUAAGUCCACAACACAAAUAUUCAACAAAGUGAAGGAAAUUAGCGCACCUAUUGUAUGACUACCAGCCGGGGUGUUCAGAUAAAACGUCUUCAUUUACAAUAGGAUAUCGGUACGAAUCAUAGCAGAUACAAUUAUUAUUUUGUAGUGUGAAAUGUCAGAAAAGACAAGUGAAAUGACUACAACGGAGAAAAAUAUUUGGUAUGUAAAACACAAACCUUUUUAUUACUAACCGUUUAGAAUGGACUUAUGUUGUCUUUAAAUUGAACUGGAGUAGUAAUUGGUUUGAUGGUGACUCUUCAUGGCCAUAAUAAUUCCUUAAGUUGAGGUCAGGACAGAGUAAAUUGAAUAAUGCACACACAAAUACUCACGCUCCUGCCUUUGAGACCUUAUGAGCGUAAGUACUUUGUAAAUAUAAUUAUUUGAUACUUGUUUAUAUUAACAAAUGUUGUGUUUUAGGCCGAAAUAUUGUUCAAUAAUUAGGUGCUCUAGUGUGUUUAGCUGUUGCGUAGCUGCUGGUAGCUUAUAGCCUAUACCAUGUUUGCCUUCUGUAAAUGACUUCACUAAAAUACAAGAAAGCACAAACUAAAUGCAAUGCAGUACUGAUUGUAUUUUUGCUAAAAUCGGACCAAUAUCAGAUUGGUUUGUUAUCUAUUCACUUCUACAGUUGAACUACUUUUGUCUCUACUUAUGUGCUUAUUGUUCAAUUGAUCCAUUUGUGGAUGAGUGUUGAAACUUACCGGAGUGCAUAGAGAACCGUCCCGUUACUAAAGAUGCGUAUGAGGCGGUUCUCCACCGUCACGUCAUGCAGGAAUGAUCGCUUGGAGUCUGGAAUGAAAGUGUCCGGGAUCCAGAGCAGCGACACCAGGCGUCCAUCCACGCUGACGCUCUCAUUCCCUGGGAACACCAGCCUGGAAUCACGCCAGCGCUGGCGGAGGAAAAUUGUUGCUGUGUAGUCCUUGGAAAGAAACACAUUGAGAUGGCAUCGAUGCUUGCGAUGUCAAGACUCAUGCCAAUUUCCACCGGACCUUCUGUCAGAGAGACAUGAGAAGCUUCUGCAUACAAAAGCAAUAUGUGAGUAAUACUGUUGAAGAAGAAGACUAGUCCUACCAUUGAAAUUGGGUCUCAGGUAGCGGUUAUGGAUCGGAGUUGUCUCACCAGAGUGUGAAGGUCAUGGCCAGGAUCACUGGCGUGUGCAGCUGGAUGAACAUUGUGGACCAGCAGCUGAUGAAGACAAAUCUGCAUAUUUACAGAAUUUUAAGGGACUCCCCACAGGCCGGAUUUUGGACGCUGGCGGGCAGAGUUUGGCCCACGGGCCGUAGUUUGGGAACCUCUGUGCUACAGCGUGGAGCCUAUUGGGUUGUCUUCACUUCACUAGAAAGUUCUCUUCACGAAGGACGUCUGCCUGCCUGGACCAAAAAGCUCUUAGUAUGGAUAACAGAAAACUGGAGCAAUCUUCCUCAAACACCUGCGUUGAUCUGGAAUACAUCCUAAAAGAGCUGGACUUACUGUCUGAUUGCAUGGAUCAACUAGCAUUGCAAAUACAGCUUAAGCUGUGUGAUCUGAUCGUUUCUGUCGGCCACCCUGACAAGCUGGGACACCUGAAAGUCCAGGAGGCACCGAAUCAGCUGCCGCAAGCUUCACCUGGAACUGAUGAAUGAAAAUCCAAGAUUUAAGCAUGAUGUGAGAGGACCUUAUUUACUUCUUUAAGAGCGGCAUCUCCACACCAGCUGGGAGCCCAAGUUUGAAACCACAGUACAACUAAGACCAGUAAAAGGACCUACAUAAAUAAACUUAACAAAUUGAUAAGGUACACGGCAUUGCCUUGACAAUAGCACCAUCUGCUGCUCAGUUUCUGAACGUGCUUGUAGUUAAACCAAUUCUUGGGAAUUUGAUUUAAAUGAAGUCUAUAUUUAUUUCCAGACGGUGAACAAUUACUCUAACGUUUACCUAGUAGUGCACAUAUGCAGUAGACUACAGCCUAACAUAAAAACUGCAUGAAAUGCAAAUUGCAAUAAAAUAAUAUAUUUCCCUAA